rnacentral:rRNA from 1 species
UUCUUCAUCGAUGCCAGAACCAAGAGUCCGUUGUUGAAAGUUUGAUUUAUUUGUUUGUUUUACUCAGAAGUUCCACUAAAAACAGAGUUUAGGGGUCCUCGGGCGGGCCGUCCCGUUUUACGGGGCGCGGGCUGAUCCGCCGAGGCAACGUAUAGGUAUGUUCACAGGGGUUUGGGAGUUGUAAACUCGGUAAUGAUCCUUCCGUAGGGUGACCUGCGGAGGGAUCAUUACCGAGUUUACAACUCCCAAACCCCUGUGAACAUACCUAUACGUUGCCUCGGCGGAUCAGCCCGCGCCCCGUAAAACGGGACGGCCCGCCCGAGGACCCCUAAACUCUGUUUUUAGUGGAACUUCUGAGUAAAACAAACAAAUAAAUCAAAACUUUCAACAACGGAUCUCUUGGUUCUGGCAUCGAUGAAGAACGCAGCAAAAUGCGAUAAGUAAUGUGAAUUGCAGAAUUCAGUGAAUCAUCGAAUCUUUGAACGCACAUUGCGCCCGCCAGUAUUCUGGCGGGCAUGCCUGUUCGAGCGUCAUUUCAACCCUCAAGCUCAGCUUGGUGUUGGGACUCGCGGUAACCCGCGUUCCCCAAAUCGAUUGGCGGUCACGUCGAGCUUCCAUAGCGUAGUAAUCAUACACCUCGUUACUGGUAAUCGUCGCGGCCACGCCGUUAAACCCCAACUUCU